rnacentral:rRNA from 1 species
AAGGGGUAGUAAUAUUUAGGCAACGUACCCUCCGGUCUGGGAUAUACUUGGGAAACUGAGUGCAAUACUGGACGAUGACCUUGAGAGGCAUCUCUUGGGGUUUAAAGAUUUAUCGCCGGGGGAGCGGCUUAAACCGUAUCAGCUAGUUGGUGAGGUAAUGGCUCACCAAGGCUUCGACGCGUAGGGGGUGUGAGAGCACGACCCCCACCAUUGGCACUGAGACACUGGCCAAACUCCUACGGGAGGCUGCAGUCGUGAAUCUUCGGCAAUGAGCGAAAGCUUGACCGAGCGACGCCGCGUGGUGGAUGAAGGCCUUCGGGUUGUAAACACCUGUUGGGGGGGAACAAAUUUGAGUGAUCCCCUGAGGAAGCACGGGCUAAGUUCGUGCCAGCAGCCGCGGUAAGACGAACUGUGCGAACGUUAUUCGGAGUCACUGGGCUUAAAGCGCUCGUAGGUGGUAUUGUAAGUCAGAGGUGAAAUACAAUCGGCUCAACCGUUGAAUUGCCUUUGAUACUGCAAAACUUGAGCGAUGUAGGGGCAUUUGGAACUUCCGGUGGAGCGGUGAAAUGUGUUGA